GGGAAAGUGGCUCAGUGGUAGAGCACUUGCCUUGCAUGCAUGAAGCCCUGGGUUCGAUUCCUCAGCACCA
rnacentral:tRNA from 1 species